UACGAAGGGGGCUAGCGUUGCUCGGAAUCACUGGGCGUAAAGGGUGCGUAGGCGGGUCUUUAAGUCAGGGGUGAAAUCCUGGAGCUCAACUCCAGAACCGCCUUUGAUACUGAAGAUCUUGAGUUCGGGUGAGGUGAGUGGAACUGCGAGUGUAGAGGUGAAAUUCGUAGAUAUUCGCAAGAACACCAGUGGCGAAGGCGGCUCACUGGCCCGAUACUGACGCUGAGGCACGAAAGCGUGGGGAGCAAACAGG
rnacentral:rRNA from 1 species